rnacentral:misc_RNA from 1 species
AACGCACGAGACCUGCGGACCUGCGGAGGGAUCAUUACUGAGAUAGGGUUUCUUCUGAGCCCGACCUCCAACCCUUUGCUUAAACCACCUUGUUGCUUUGGCAGGCCCCGUCCCUUUGGGGACCGCCGGGAGUGUUUAAUCACCCUUGGCCAGUGCCUGCCAGUAGCCAAUUUAAAUUCCUUUUUAACCAUGUUGUCUGAAAAAAACACAAGAAAUUCAAUUAAAACUUUCAGCAAUGGA